rnacentral:rRNA from 1 species
AGGUGACCUCGGAUCAGGUAGGGAUACCCGCUGAACU